AUAUUGCGAGCUAACUAAAGAAAAAUAGAUCGCAACGCCUUAACUUUCAGUACCCAAAAAGUGUCCAGAAUAGUAUAGUAACAAUAAGUGCGGGCAGAAGAUAGAUAAGAACAGCCGUCUGAAUAGUAUGAUACUGAUUUUUUUAUUUACAAAGAAUUAUCUUGAAGGACUGUUUAUAAGAAGAGUACUAAUGGUGGGAACAGACAAACAUUCAGACUUGAGAAGUACCAGAUUUCAUGAACUAUUAAAAGUUACACAAAAAUCAAAAGUUUAUAAGCAGAAGAAACGCUGAAUAACAAGUGUAAUCAGAGGUAGCUGGAAGGAUCAGCAUAAAAGAAACGUAAAUGCAACAAGAAAGAAUAGCAGGGACUCGAAUUGCCAUCUGGGUUCUUCUUCUUGUGAUUUAUACUGACUGGUGACACUGGAGUGUUGAAUGUCCGCAACUGUGUCUCGAAAGUGACAGUCGCUAAGUAAACGUUAGUCGCUAACUAGUGUAAACCUAUGGAAAUUUGGGACCAAUAAGCCUACGUAGAAAGUUCAUCACUUCAGUGAAAUGAGUCAACUGGUCGAACUUCCAGUUCCAUGAAAAAAUAUGAUAUUUGGUCAACGUGAUAUGAAUUCACACAGUGAUGCAUGGACAGUUAUAUGCAGUUGCAUCAGGUCUGUUUGCAGCAAUAGCUAGUCUCUGUGGAAAAUAUGCUAUGGCCUCUUCUGAAGCACAGUACCUUUGUGAAUCAAUGUUAUUAGCAUUAAGUCAAGAUGACGACCUUAAACAAACCAAUUUUGUUGAAUCAAGCUGCAAUGAGAUCAACUAUUUAUUGCUGGCUCAAGAGGUGGCAGAAUGAGUACUAGUAUACUCUUGAAGAUCGUACCGGGACCAGGGCUAUU